GACGAACCGAGCGAACGUUGUUCGGAAUCACUGGGCUUAAAGGGCGCGUAGGCGGGCGGCAUAGUCUGUCGUGAAAUCCCCCAGCUCAACUGGGGAACUGCGAUGGAUACUGGCCGUCUCGAGGCAGGUAGGGGCGUGUGGAACUAUCGGUGGAGCGGUGAAAUGCGUUGAUAUCGAUAGGAACUCCGGUGGCGAAGGCGACACGCUGGACCUGAACUGACGCUGAGGCGCGAAAGCCAGGGGAGCAAACGGG
rnacentral:rRNA from 1 species